rnacentral:lncRNA from 1 species
UUUCUUCUCUGGUGUUCUUUGUGGUUAUCGUGGUGCUGCUGUCCAUUAUUUACCGCAAGGAUCCUCAGUGCUGCAAACUGCGCUCCUAUCAAGGGCCACAUGCAGAUAUGGAUGCUCUUCCUCAGUACUACAGCAGCAGGCAGACACUGGUGGGGUCUCCUUGUCUCGAGCAGACUCAGAUCAUGGACGACACUCAGGUGAGAGAGUGACUGGCAUCAUCAGCCCCACAAAGCAGCGGCCUCCUCUCCUGUGUGGCAGCUAAUAAAGACACAUACUGUACAGUGGCUCUGAAGUGAAUGUUUCAAUGACUGCAGCUGUGUUAUGGUUCAAAGUGGGUUUCAGUGAUGGGGUAUAUUCGGACCAUUAUCCACAAGUCCUCCGCACAUAAAAGCUUCUGUUUCCUGGCCCAUAUAACCGUCCCUCUGUGUGUGUGUGUGUCUCAGCAGGCGGGUCAGCUUUUCUACGUCGGCCUGCCCUCCAGCUACAGCCUGCCCACACUGGAGGCCCCCCUGCCGAGGCUCCCCUCCUACGAGAGUGUCCGAAAGAAGGACCGCCAGAGGCAGAUCCACAUGAUGAUCGCGGACCGCUUCGGCCUCAAUGGGCCCAUUGUGACUGAGCCUCCUCCAACAUAUGAAGAGAGCAUCCGCCAGUCUUUGGAGCUGCCAUACAACAUCCUCUCAUCCAGUCUGGACAUCUCAUCUCCUCAGAGCAUCUACACCAACACAGGACCCGACACACCUCAUCCAGUCAGCUCCGACCCCGACAGCCCUGUUCUACCUGUGUGA